rnacentral:rRNA from 1 species
GUGGGGAAUCUUCCGCAAUGGACGAAAGUCUGACGGAGCAACGCCGCGUGUAUGACGAAGGCCUUCGGGUUGUAAAGUACUGUUUUUCGGGACGAAGGGUAUAGGUGUAAAUAAUGCCUAUAAUUGACGGUACCGAAAGAGGAAGCCCCGGCAAACUACGUGCCAGCAGCCGCGGUAAUACGUAGGGGGCGAGCGUUGUCCGGAAUUAUUGGGCGUAAAGGGCGCGUAGGCGGGUCAUUAAGUCCGGUGUGAAAGGCGGGGGCUCAACCCCUGGAGUGCAUCGGAAACUGGGGAUCUUGAGGACAGGAGAGGGAAGUGGAAUUCCACGUGUAGCGGUGAAAUGCGUAGAGAUGUGGAGGAACACCAGUGGCGAAGGCGACUUCCUGGACUGUAGCUGACGCUGAGGCGCGAAAGCGUGGGGAGCAAACAGG